rfam:Vigna angularis cultivar Jingnong 6 chromosome 6, whole genome shotgun sequence.
CUCAUUUAACCCACAAAACCGUGGGAGGCUGGACUAGGUUGGGUCGGCUGACCCAAAACACUAUAUAUGACCUCAAAAUAACAAGGGUCAAGGUCGACCAGUGAGAUGAUGGGAGAUAGCUUCAUCGUCCAGAGGGAAACAACAUGGAACACCAUCUAAGGCCCCUAAAUGACUGCUUAGUGAUAAAGGAGGUAGGGGUGCAGAGACAACCAGGAGGUUUGCCUAAAAGCAGCCACCCUUGAAAGAGUGCGUAAUAGCUCACUGAUCGUGCGCUCUUACGCCGAAGAUGAAUGGGGCUAAACGAUCUGCCGAAGCUGUGGGAUGUCAAAAUGAAUCGGUAGGGGAGCGUUCCGCCUUAGGAAGAAGGACCCGCGCGAGCAGUGUUGAACGAAGCGGAAGCG